CGGCAAGUCCUAUACGACCAGCUCCUGUUGACUCCCCCAGGGUAGGAAUACAGCAAGGGUAGAUGGUUGAGCGGUGCGAUAUAGUCAACUUGCCAUUU
rnacentral:SRP_RNA from 1 species